rnacentral:rRNA from 1 species
GACGAACCGUGCAAACGUUGUUCGGAAUCACUGGGCUUAAAGGGCGCGUAGGCGGGCAAGCAAGUCGAAGGUGAAAUCCCACGGCUCAACCGUGGAAGUGCCCCCGAUACUGCUUGUCUUGAGGGAGAUAGGGGCGUGCGGAACUUCCGGUGGAGCGGUGAAAUGCGCAGAUAUCGGGAGGAACACCAGUAGCGAAGGCGGCACUCUGGGCCGGUACUGACGCUGAGGAGCGAAAGCGUGGGGAGCAAACAGG